rnacentral:rRNA from 1 species
AUUGAACGCUGGCGGCAGGCCUAACACAUGCAAGUCGAGCGAGCGGCGGACGGGUGCGUAAUGUCUGGGAAACUGCCUGAUGGCGGGGGCUAACAACUGGACACGGUAGCUAAUACCGCAUACCAUCAGAUGUGCCCAGAUGGGAUUAGCUAGUAGGUGGGGUAAUGGCUCACCUAGGCGACGAUCCCUAGCGUGCCUGAGAGGAUGACCCGCCACACUGGAACGUAGACACGGUCCAGACUCCUACGGGAGGCAGCAGUGGGGAAUAUUGGACAAUGGGCGCAAGCCUGAUGCAGCCAUGCCGCGUGUGUGAAGAAGGCCUUCGGGUUGUAAAGCACUUUCAGCGGGGAGGCGUUACCCGAAGAAGAAGCACCGGCUAACUCCGUGCCAGCAGCCGCGGUAAUUC